UACGGAGGGUGCAAGCGUUGUCCGGAAUCACUGGGCGUAAAGGGCGCGUAGGCGGCUCAUGAAGGCUGUGGUGAAAGUCCGGGGCUCAACCUCGGAUCGGCCGUGGCGACUCGUGGGCUGGAGCACUGUAGAGGCGGGUGGAAUUCCGGGUGUAGCGGUGGAAUGCGUAGAGAUCCGGAGGAACACCGACGGCGUAGGCAGCGCCCUAGACGAGACCUGACGCUCAGGCACGAAAGCGCGGGGAGCGAACAGG
rnacentral:rRNA from 1 species